rnacentral:rRNA from 1 species
UACGAAGGGGGCUAGCGUUGUUCGGAAUUACUGGGCGUAAAGCGAGCGUAGGUUGCUCGACAAGUCAGUGGUGAAAGCCCAGAGCUCAACUCUGGAACUGCCAUUGAAACUGUCGAGCUGGAAUCUCAGAGGGGGUAGCGGAAUUCCAAAUGUAGGGGUGAAAUCCGUAGAUAUUUGGAGGAACACCGGUGGCGAAGGCGGCUACCUGGAUGAGUAUUGACACUGAGGCUCGAAAGCGUGGGGAUCAAACAGGAUUAGAUACCCUGGUAGUCCACGCUGUAAACGAUGGAUGCUAGUUGUUAGGGGGUUCCCCCUUAGUGACGUAGCUAACGCGUUAAGCAUCCCGCCUGGGGAGUACGGUCGCAAGAUUA